rnacentral:rRNA from 1 species
AGAGUUUGAUCAUGGCUCAGGAUGAACGCUAGCUACAGGCUUAACACAUGCAAGUCGAGGGGCAGCAUGUUGGUUGCUUGCAACCAACGAUGGCGACCGGCGCACGGGUGAGUAACGCGUAUCCAACCUACCCUUGUCCAUCGGAUAACCCGUCGAAAGGCGGCCUAACACGAUAUGCGGUUCACAGCAGGCAUCUAACGUGAACGAAAUGUAAAGGAGAAGGAUGGGGAUGCGUCUGAUUAGCUUGUUGGCGGGGUAACGGCCACAAGGCUACGAUCAGUAGGGGUUCUGAGAGGAAGGUCCCCACAUUGGAACUGAGACACGGUCCAAACUCCGUACGGGGCA